AAAUUCCCAUUGGCUAUGUAUUUUACAUAUUCCCAUUGGCUAUGUAUUUUACAUAUUCCCAUUGGCUAUGUAUUUUACAUACGGUGCUGUCUAGGUUGGUCAUAGCUUUUCUUCCAAGGAGCAAUUGUCUUUUGAUUUCAUGGCUACAGUCACCAUCUGCUGAGAAAAUAAAAUCAGUCUCUGUCUCCACUGUUUCUCCAUCUGUUUGCCAUGGAGCGAGUCACAGCCACAGGACCGUGGUGGCUUCAUGAUGAGGGUGAGAGCAGAGCUGGGCCUGCUGGCCUGGGGUGUAAGACACAGCAGCCGAACCACAGGAGGCGCAGUCAGCUACACCCAGGAGUGAGCUGGGGACAUGUAGGACGCCUUACACACCUGCUCAGCUCCAGCAGAAUAACCACUGCUGUGCUGCUUCUGACCGCUGGGUCCCCAGUCCUCCCUCGCACUUGAAUGUGAUGGAAAGGAAUACUGUUAAGCCCUCAGAUGCUGCUGGUUGAGCUACCACUCAGGAAGGACUGAUGCCUCCUUUUUCACAAAGUUAUUCAGGACAUGUUUUCUUCUAGAAAUGAACAUUUUGCUUCCUUCCCAAACUGCAAUACUGCACUUCAGAACUCACAGGAAUACUUGAUGUAUAGAAGACUAACUGUAUCUCAGAGUAAAAAUAUAAAAGAAAAAUUAUUCUAAAAAUCUGUUCAAGACAACACUGUAUGUGUGUGUGUGUGUGUGAACACUCAGUUGUGUUUGACACUUUGGAACCCCAUGGGCUGUAGCCCACCAGGUUUCUCUGUCCAUGGGGAUUCUGCAGGCAAGAAUACUGGAGUAGGUUGCCAUUUCCUUCUCUAAGGAAUCUUCACGACCCAGGGAUUGAACCCACAUCUCCUACAUUGGCAGGCAGGUUCUUUACUGCGGAGCCACCUGGGAAGCCCUCAAGAUUGUAUAAUG
rnacentral:lncRNA from 1 species